UUCUAGAACCAACGAAAGGUGAGAGGGUUAACAGAGGUGUGUACCAACUGCUAGGAGACGUUACGAAGCAGAAGGAGAUGAUCCACGUGGAAGUUCGAAAUAGACAAAUCAUGAAGGGAAGACCUAGCUACACUAAGAUGAAGACUUGGUCUCUGAAAAGCAGUCAUUAAGAGAGAAACGUGAUUAACCACAGAUUGGGAGAAGAUGCUUGCCCCGUAAGAAGUUUCUAAGGUUCAGAAGAUUGACCGGAGUCUCAGUGUGCUACAGUCAAGUGUCAGCAGGGCUGUGCUCCUUCUUGGAGGGUCUAGGGCAGAGUCCGUGCCCUUUCUGGCUUCAAGAGGGUGCCCGCAUGCCUGGCUCAUGCCUUCCUUCCUCCGCUGUUGAAGCCAGUAGCAGCCAGGAAACUACGUUGCAGGUGUUAUAACAAUACCUACACGUUUGUAUCCCAGCCCGAGGCCUCGGUCCUGCAGCGUUGUGCUCCGUCUCUCAUCCUCCUGGGGAGUGCAUAAUGCAAAUGAAAGAAAAAGAGGGACACAGAUCUUCCCCUUCCAAUGACCAGCCUAGGAACUGUGGAACCCACCUGUAACCUACAAGCCGCACGCCCACCCACCCCCACCCGGCUGCUACAUGUUCUGCAUCUUUGGGCCAGAUCAAUGGAAUUCUCUUCACUCAUUUUCCCUGUAAAUCUCAGAAUCAAAUAAAAGGAACUCCUGUCCGUAAUCACC